rnacentral:rRNA from 1 species
GAUGAACGCUGGCGGCGUGCCUAAUACAUGCAAGUCGAGCGAACGGACGAGAAGCUUGCUUCUCUGAUGUUAGCGGCGGACGGGUGAGUAACACGUGGAUAACCUACCUAUAAGACUGGGAUAACUUCGGGAAACCGUAGCUAAUACCGGAUAAUAUUUUGAACCGCAUGGCUCAAAAGUGAAAGACGGUCUUGCUGUCACUUAUAGAUGGAUCCGCGCUGCAUUAGCUAGUUGGUAAGGUAACGGCUUACCAAGGCAACGAUGCAUAGCCGACCUGAGAGGGUGAUCGGCCACACUGGAACUGAGACACGGUCCAGACUCCUACGGGAGGCAGCAGUAGGGAAUCUUCCGCAAAGGGCGAAAGCCUGACGGAGCAACGCCGCGUGAGUGAUGAAGGUCUUCGGAUCGUAAAACUCUGUUAUUAGGGAAGAACAUAUGUGUAAGUAACUGUGCACAUCUUGACGGUACCUAAUCAGAAAGCCACGGCUAACUACGUG